GUUCAUUACUUUAUUUUAUAUGUGCGAAUUUAAAAAUUCCGGAUACUUCUUAAGCACCCCAUACAUAAUUCCCACAGCUUGAAAACGGGAGUAAAAUCGACAUAUACACCGUAAGCAGCGGUUGCACCCGAAACCCUCAAAUCUGGAGGCUGGACUUCACAAGUUCGACUUCAACGUACGUAAUUCGAUCGGCCCUGGGUGAAUCAAACCGGUGGCAACAUGCAAUGCACACUGACGGAAGAGCCCCCCACAUUUGGGAGGCACAACCCCCCACUACGGAUGGUUACUGGCACGUAGUUCGAGUCGAUGGCACAAAUUAUUGGAAUAUAUAUAACCGAUACUACAAUUCAACUGGACCGAGCAGCCUUCGUAAUACAGGGUAAUUUUGUGCGUAAAUAAUUCGCUCAUGUCUUUAAUAAAACUCGGGUUUAAUAUCGAUUUAUAGGGUUGCUGUUAAAUGUAAAAUGAUGUAGUUAUGAAAUUGUUUUAUGUAUUUUUGUAAAUUGUUGAGUACGCGUCUAUAAUUGCCCCGAGACGUGGUGGUGGUUGCCAUGGUGACGUCAGGGUGGGAUUUUUGGUCGUCUCUCUUUGUUAAGUCGUAGUAAGUAAGUAGGUAGAAGAAUUCUACACAGUCGAGUUUUAG